UACAGAGGUCCCGAGCGUUGUUCGGAUUCACUGGGCGUAAAGGGUGCGUAGGUGGCAGGGUAAGUUUGAUGUGAAAUCUCCGGGCUUAACCCGGAAACUGCAUUGAAUACUAUCCUACUUGAGGGUUGGAGGGGGGGACUGGAAUUCUCGGUGUAGCAGUGAAAUGCGUAGAUAUCGAGAGGAACACCAGUGGCGAAGGCGAGUCCCUGGACAACACCUGACACUGAGGCACGAAAGCUAGGGGAGCAAACAGG
rnacentral:rRNA from 1 species